rnacentral:rRNA from 1 species
CAUCGCCUCUUGAGACUUAUAAGAGGUCCAGCCUGCCCAGUGACUCAGUUCAACGGCCGCGGUAUCCUAACCGUGCGAAGGUAGCGUAAUCACUUGUUCUUUAAAUGAGGACUAGUAUGAAUGGCACCACGAGGGUUAUACUGUCUCCUUUUUCCAAUCAAUGAAACUGAUUUCCCCGUGAAGAAGCGGGGAUAAGCCUAUAAGACGAGAAGACCCUAUGGAGCUUCAAACAACAAUAGCACUGGCCCUCAUUUUUACGUCAAUAGACACAACCAUUAUUCUGGCCAGCAUGACUAUUAGUUUUAGGUUGGGGUGACCGCGGAGCAAAAAUUAACCUCCACAUUGAACGGAGCUUCUCCUGAGCUAAAAAGCAACGAUUUUAAGCACCAAUAAAUUGACAUUAAUUGACCCAACAUGUUGAACAACGAACCAAGUUACCCUAGGGAUAACAGCGCAAUCCAUUUCAAGAGCCCACAUCGACAAAUGGGUUUACGACCUCGAUGUUGGAUCAGGGUAUCCCAGUGGUGCAGCCGCUACUAAAGGUUCGUUUGUUCAACGAUUAAAACCCUACGUGAUCU